rnacentral:rRNA from 1 species
ACGUACUGGCAUUGUUGGUUUCCCCCUUCUGACGAACCAUGAUGUCAUUUAUUUGGUGUUGUGGGGAAUCAGGACUGUUACUUUGAAAAAAUUAGAGUGUUUAAAGCAGGCUCACGCUUGAAUACAUUAGCAUGGAAUAAUGAAAUAGGACGUUUGAUUCUAUUUUGUUGGUUUCUAGGAUCGACGUAAUGAUUAAUAGGGAUAGUUGGGGGCAUUAGUAUUCAAUUGUCAGAGGUGAAAUUCUUGGAUUUAUUGAAGACUAACUACUGCGAAAGCAUUUGCCAAGGAUGUUUUCAUUAAUCAAGAACGAAAGUUAGGGGAUCGAAGACGAUCAGAUACCGUCGUAGUCUUAACCAUAAACUAUGCCGACUAGGGAUCGGAUGAUGUUAAUUUUUUAAUGACUCAUUCGGCGCCUUACG